GAUCGUGUGUUUUUAGGCUUGUUUUAUGAAAUGCGGUGUAGUUCGCGUGCACGAAAGUGGCGGAAGAUAACCUGCGUCUCGCUGCAAACUCGCCGUAUGCGUGACGCGCCAGGCAAAUGCGGACCAACGAUUUUCAUGCCGUGGAGUGUGUUGCCUUUGUCCCUUUGUCCAUUUGUCUUUGGUGGUCGUGGAACGUUUUAUGGACUUCGCAAUGAAAUAAUGCCUAUUAUUAGUGUGCCUCAGCUCGUCCAUUACGUGACGGCAUGUAUGCUGGGAUCAACAUCGUCGACGCAGCACUGGCAACUCGGAGAGCUCUUUUCGAUCUCGUCGUACUGUUCAAAAGUGGUGAGGCCGUGGCCCGCAACAGUGUCCACUAAAAGGAGGAGCCCCCAGAAAUGCGGACCCCAUAUGAGUGCCUGCAGCAGCCCGGCUGGAUGGUCAUGUCAGAACAAUGAAAUUACUUCAAGCACCCAAAUGGAGAAAAAAGGUCUAAUCAGAGGGCUCGCAUUCUUACAAGCUUGACAACAGAGCGCCACC